UUUAUUAACUAUUUAACUUAUUUAAUUAAAAUUUCUUUGAUGGAUUAUUAAAGGUAGAGAUCUCACUUUCAUUUUUUAAACAGUUAAUGACUGCCCAGUAUACUUCCUGAAUAACUAUUUUCAUCACGUAUUUGAAGUGCUGCUACUUUGAUCAUGCAAUAAAUUUAUAUAACACAUGGGGUGCCUGCCUGGCUCAGUGGGUAGAGCGUGCGACUCUUGAUCUCAGGGUUGUGAGCUCAAGCCCCAUGCUGGGCAUGGAGUCCAAAUAAAAAAAAUCAAAAAAAUUAUAAAACACAUACAUUCAUUGUAACUUAUAUUUGUAUCUACUUUGGGGCCAUUUAUCUUAAUGACCUUCCUGCCUACUGUCUCAUCAUAACUAAGUUGUUUCAAUUUCUACGUCUUUAUCUUAUAUUUUCAGAUCUGAAAACAAAAGCCCUCAUUUGUGGUUAUUCUGACUCAAAACAUUUUUGGGUGGCAAGAAACGAGAAGCAAAGUCAAAAGUCAAGUAACAGUCUGAGAGAAAAUAUCUGCAAUAUUUCUGCAAGAUCAAGCCAGGAUAUCACAAGGCAUCCAGUCCUUUAUUCUGAAAUAGGGCAAGGAGGAGAAGUGCGUGGCAAUGAUUUAAUUUGCAGUGGUAUGGCAGAGGGCUUGCCAAAUGGUCGUUUUCCAGACAAGGCCUGAAAAUCUCAGAAGACCAACAACAACAAGAACAACAAAAACCAAAGCCACUGGGCUAUCUUCAAACACUGACAUAAUUAACCUCACGAUUGUAUCCAAUUCAUCAUUCUGAAUGACUCUUGAAAAUAAAGGACAUCUGACUCAUGGUAAAGAAAACAUGCAAUUAAAAAAAUUUUUUUUCUUACAUCUGACAAAAUUUAGAUUGACCAAUAAUUGAUAAUUUCUGACCUCUCUGGAAUAUAGUCAAGAACAAGGCAGUGAGCUCAAGGCCUCUGAUCAGCCAAAAAAAAUAUGAUGUUAAUGUUAGGGCUUAUAGAAAAGCCUUGAAAGACCAUAUCUCAGCAUGCUUA